GGAAUCUUCAACACACCUCUAGGAGUAGGUAGGGAAGUGAAAACAUUUAGAGAUUAGGUGGGACUUUUUUUUCUUUCUCUUCUUCUAGUUUAUGGACAUGACUGCAAAAAAGAAAAGAGGUAAUAACUGGGUACAUAGAAGGCAUCCAAAAGAAAGAAUUUAUCUUCUGGAUCAUGAUGGGAAUGUCCGGAAGAUGGACUACUGAAAGUGGAAAAGGUCACUGGACCAAAGUGGAGAACGGAGAACAUACUUAAGAAGGAUAAGUGGAUGAAGGGGGAGGGAGAAAAAUCAAGACCAACUACCAAGAAGAUGCAGUGGCACUGGGUUGCCCAUCUUCCGACCACAGCAAGUGGCAAGGAUCAGUAUGUCACCCCUUCCAUGAAGCCUUGAUCCCCAAGCUUGUCCCCAUGUCUGGAGGGGCUCUAAGUCGCAACACAGAGAAUCUUGGAUGAUUAUAGGUUCACGUCUAGAAAUUUCCCACCUCACCCUAAAUAUCGAGGGAUUAUGGAUCUGGACUGGUGCCUUAAUUUGGUGAAAAAAAAUAAAAUCUAUUUCUAAAAAGGUACCUAAAAGUGCUUCAAGCUCUCACUGUU